AACGUAGGGCCCGAGCGUUAUCCGGAUUCACUGGGUGUAAAGGGUGCGUAGGCGGGCGUGCGCGUCUGGGGUGAAAGGCUUCGGCUCAACCGGAGACAUGCCCUGGGUACGGCACGUCUUGGGUGCGGGAGAGGUCGAUGGAAUUCCUGGUGUAGCGGUGAAAUGCGUAGAUAUCAGGAGGAACACCGGUGGCGAAGGCGGUCGCCUGGCCCGCAACCGACGCUGAGGCACGAAAGCGUGGGGAGCAAACAGG
rnacentral:rRNA from 1 species